rnacentral:rRNA from 1 species
AAAUCCGUUAAGAGAGCUAAGAUGUGAUGAUGAGUGCUAUUUAGGUAGCAUGAAAUGUAGGUAGUCAAGGUGCCAAGAAAUAGCUUCUAAGGUUAGGCUAUAAGGGACCGUACCGCAAACCGACACAGGUAGGUGGGAUGAAAAUUCUAAGGCGCGCGAGAGAAUCCACGUUAAGGAACUCUGCAAAAUACGUACGUAACUUCGGGAUAAGUACGACCUAAGCAAUUAGGUAGCAUAAAAAUGGUCCAAACGACUGUUUACCAAAAACACAGGUCUCUGCAAAUCUGUAAAGAGAAGUAUAGGGACUGACACCUGCCCGGUGCUGGAAGGUUAAGAGGAGAUGUUAGUUUAUGCGAAGCAUUGAAUUAAGCCCCAGUAAACGGCGGCCGUAACUAUAA